rnacentral:tRNA from 1 species
GGGCUUAGGUUAAACAAACCAGGAGCCUUCAAAGCCCCAAACAGGGCCACACCCCCUAGCCCCU